GAUAAACGCUGGCGGCGUGCCUAACACAUGCAAGUCGAACGCCCUUUUGCGCGAAGUGAGAGGGAGUGGCGGACGGGUGAGUACCACGUGGGUACCUACCUUGAGGUGAGGAAUACCACCGAGAAAUACGGUGACAAGACCGCAUACGCUUGGCAACAAGCAAAGUCUCGCAAGAGACGCCACAAGAUGGGCCUGCGCCUGAUUAGCUAGUUGGUGAGGUAAUGGCNCACCAA
rnacentral:rRNA from 1 species